rnacentral:tRNA from 4 species
GGCUCCUUCGUCUAGCGGUCUAGGACAUCACCCUUUCACGGUGGAAACACGGGUUCGAUUCCCGUAGGAGUCA